GGCGAUGUGGCCGAGUGGUCAGGCAAGGGUCUGCAAAACCCUCUACAGCGGUUCGAUUCCGCUCGUCGCCUCCA
rnacentral:tRNA from 1 species